rnacentral:lncRNA from 1 species
UCACAAGCUGUGCAUUGAUCUGCAAAACAUUUAUCCACGUGUUCACCCUGCACCUUCGCCUUGGCAGGUAAACCAAUUUUCACCCAAUCCUCAAUGAAGGCACUGCGUUAUUAGAUUAAUUUAAUUCGUGUAUUAUAUAUAUAUAUAUAUAUAUAUAUAUAUAUAUAUAUAUAUAUAUAUAUAAGUAACAUAACAAAAAGUGUUUCAAACGUAUAUAUAUAUAUAUAUAUAUAUAUAUACUUGUAGAAAAAGAUUAAAGGUACGUACGUUGAUUCAGAACCAUCUGCAGGUAAAGACAUGAGACCUUUGAUACCUCCACAUGCGCUAUGGCCAAUGACAACAAUGUUCUCUACCUUAAGGUGAAGAACAGCGUAUUCGAUAGCUGCUCCGACUCCGGAGUAUCUGGUCUGUUUAAUUGAUCAUAACACAAGAGUAUUCAAUCCCGAAUUC